AACGAACGCUGGCGGCAGGCUUAAUACAUGCAAGUCGAGGGGUCAGCAAUGACACCGGCGGACGGGUGCGUAACGCGUAUGCAACCUACCUACAUCAGGGGGAUAGCCCUAGGAAACUGGGAUUAACACCGCAUAAUAGUAUUGAUGGCAUCAUUGAUAUUUGAAAUAUUUAUAGGAUGUAGAUGGGCAUGCGUAAGAUUAGCUAGUUGGUAAGGUAACGGCUUACCAAGGCUACGAUCUUUAGGGGCUCUGAGAGGAGUAUCCCCCACACUGGCACUGAGAUACGGGCCAGACUCGUACGGGAGGCAGCAGUAGGGAAUAUUGGGCAAUGGAGGCAACUCUGCCCCAGCCAUGCCGCGUGCAGGAAGACGGCCCUCUGGGUUGUAAACUGCUUUUGAAUGGGAAGAAUGUGAUGUUUGCGAGCAUCAAUGACGGUACCAUUAGAAUAAGCCACGGCUAACUACGUGCCAGCAGCCGCCGUAACAC
rnacentral:rRNA from 1 species